AUGAUAACUGUUCCGUCGAAGAUCAGCACAAGCGUACGGCAUCGUUCUUGGAAGAUCGGAACCCUCACUGAUGAGGCGCUAUUCAGCAUCGCAGAUGUGGGCGGCAAGAGACCUGAGUGGCUGUCGCAUUCCGUCGCCGUAUACGGCAGAGGCAAUAUAGCUCAUCGGUUGGUUGGUCUACUAGCCUCGUUGGUUCGAAGGUGAACUCUCGUGCGUGGUCAUGGUCGACUAUUGGAGCCACCAGGGCGCUCGACCGCUUGGCGGUACCACCAUCCUUCACCUGUCAACUACGAUGAUGAUCAACUCUAUUGCGGGGGAUUCACGACCCAACAUAAUGUGAACGGUGGAAAAUGCGGAAUUUGUGGCGAUGCAUGGAACGCCGAAGUACCGAGAGAAAACGAGGAUGGGGGCCGCUACGGAUUAGGUCGCGUCUUCAGGACAUACUCACGAGGAGACACCAUCGAGAGCACGGUGGAGAUCACUGCUCAUCACAAGGGUUGGUUCGAAUUCCGUCUGGCUCCAGUGACCGGCACGAAUGGCACCACGCAAACGGAACUCGAUGGAAACUUGCUCUACAUUGAAGAAGCGGAGUCCACCAGGUAUCAUCUCCCAGAAGGCUCGUCCAAAGGCAUGUACGAUUUCCUCCUAAAACUCCCGGAGAAUUUGACUUGCGAGCGAUGCGUACUGCAGUGGCACUGGUGGACUGGGAACCGUUGGGAUAUUUGUCCAGACGGGAAGGGGAGACUGGGCUGCGGACCACAAGAGACCUUUCGAGGCUGCGCAGACAUCAUGAUCGUCGACAGGAGUCCGAAACAUGCAAGCGUCGAUCUCCGGGGGAACGAGCAGCUCACGGAAGAAGGACCAGUGAUACGGAUCUGGAGUUUCACUCCGAGCCAGCAUAGCCGUGAGGAGAAGGCAUGCCGUUAUGGACACAAGCAGCUGGGAUGGCUCCAUUCCUACCUUCAAAUAAUAGAACACGAGUCAAGGAAAUUCCGGGAAGGCCGACGAGUUCUGGCUCGCCGCGUGACCGGAAGCAUCGCGCUAAAUUGUGUAGUGAGAGCCGCUCACUCACCGUCCGUAAAAAUGAGAGUGCUCGCUAUCCUGAGCUCCGUGAUCUUUCUCUUCCUCCCGGCUGUUUUCUCGCAUGGUCGAAUGAUCGAACCUCCUGGACGAUCUACAGCCUGGAAAUACGGUUUCGAGACUCCCAUCAAUUAUAACGAUCACGAACUGUUUUGUGGAGGUUUCGAUCGUCAGCAUUUUGAGAACGGAGGUCAAUGCGGUAUUUGUGGCGAUCCUUGGGAUGAGACCGUCCCCCGACCCCACGAGGACGGUGGCUUAUAUGGAACCGGAACAGUAGUCAGGAAAUAUCUACAGGGUGGAGAGAUGGAGGUCGUGAUCGAAGUCACCACUCAUCAUAGAGGCUGGUUCGAAUUCAAGCUCUGCCCAGUUCAAGAAGGAGUAGAAUCCACUCAAGCCUGCCUCGACCAGUUCCCCCUUCGUCUGAAAGGCAACGACUCUGCUAGGUACGAAUUGCCGGAAGGAUCCAAGGAAGGCGCCUACCAAUUCAUCGUCGAUCUCCCAGAAGCUGUGACGUGUGAUCGGUGCGUCCUGCAAUGGCACUGGACAACUGGGAAUCGUUGGGGCCUGUGCGAAGACGGUAUCGGUCGUCUCGGCUGCGGUCCACAGGAGACGUUUCGAGCUUGCGCCGACAUCAGCAUCGCUUGA